rnacentral:rRNA from 1 species
UACAGAGGGUGCAAGCGUUGUCCGGAAUUAUUGGGCGUAAAGAGCUCGUAGGCGGUCUGCUGCGUCGGCUGUGAAAACCCGGGGCUCAACCCCGGGCCUGCAGCCGAUACGGGCAGACUAGAGUUCGGCAGGGGAGACUGGAAUUCCUGGUGUAGCGGUGAAAUGCGCAGAUAUCAGGAGGAACACCGGUGGCGAAGGCGGGGUCUCUGGGCCGAUACUGACGCUGAGGAGCGAAAGCGUGGGGAGCGAACAGG